AUGUCCAUGCCCUAUCCACGAGUAAUCGGGUCGUGUUUGGGCGCUGCCCAUGGACGCAAAAGCAUAUCCAAACCCUAUUCAUUCAGAUCUGACGGUCCACCCGCAAUCCUCGCCAGAACAAAACCACCACGCCGCUUCGUCCGGAUCGAAAAGCCUAGCCAUUCUCUUCGAUCUGUCCGCCCUUUCUCCCCGUCGGGGCGACUAACGCCGGCCCGGCCGCCGGCCCUGGUCGUCGGCAUCGGCUGCCACCACGCGGCGCCAUGCCUUUCCCUUCCCUUUCCUUUCUCUUUUCUGUUACAGAGGGAGACUACGAUGCGAGUUCCUCCUCUACUCUCAUGGCCAUGCCCAACAGCGGGGAGAAAACCUCACCGGCCUCCGGCGACGGCGUCUAGCCGCCGCACCGAGCGGGCCGCGCGGGUCCCCUUUCGUUUUAUCUCCCGCCAACCACCUCUCUGUUCUAGAAAGAGACGCGGGCCGAGCCUUUCUCUGCACUCCUUGCGACCGAUGCAGCGGCGGAGCAGACGGCGGAGCAUGCGCCGUUGCCAUCCCCCUCGCCGGUUAAAAAACGCACCAAAGUGGCUAUCUGGUAUGCAGCACAAGGAACACCAGUGCAAACGUAGUCAGGUGGAAUUUGACACGUCAUACGGCCCUGCUUGGCACUGCAUUGUUGGGACAAGCUUUGGCUCCUAUGUUACUCACACAUUGGGAGGUUUCUUAUACUUCUCUGUUGACAAGGUCCACAUUCUUCUCUUCAGAACUGCUGUUGAGCCAUCAGGCCAUCUGCGCCAAGACCAGCAGGCGCCGGAUGCCAAAGUAGCCGCAAGCUACACGAUGCGAGCCAACGAGCAGCGCAGGUCGGUGCGAACGGCCACCGCACUUGAUGCGGUGACCAACGCCUGGGUCAUCCGAUGCAGCCGAUCUUAA
rnacentral:rRNA from 1 species